UACGUAGGGGGCUAGCGUUGUCCGGAAUCAUUGGGCGUAAAGAGCGUGUAGGCGGCCCGGUAAGUCCGCUGUGAAAGUCGGGGGCUCAACCCUCGGAUGCCGGUGGAUACUGUCGAGCUCGAGUCCGGAAGAGGCGAGUGGAAUUCCUGGUGUAGCGGUGAAAUGCGCAGAUAUCAGGAGGAACACCAAUGGCGAAGGCAGCUCGCUGGGACGUGACUGACGCUGAGGCACGAAAGCGUGGGUAGCAAACAGG
rnacentral:rRNA from 1 species